AAAAAGUAAAACAUGUUUAAUUUUAUUUGAGUUUUGCAUUGCUUUUCAACAAGCAAAUGUUAAAUGUGUUAAGACUUGUACUAGUGUUGUAACUUUCCAAGUAAAAGUGUCCCUAAAGGCCACUUCUAUCUGAUUUUUCCCAGUAAAUGAGGCAGGCAAUUCUAAGAUCUUCCACAAGACAUCUAGCCAUCUAAAAUGGAGAGAUGAAUCAUUCUACCUAUACAAACAAGCUAGCUAUUAGAGGGUGGUUGGGGUAUGCUACUCAUAAGAUUUCAGGGUGUCUUCCAACUGAAAUCUCAAUGUUCUCAGUAUGAAAAACCUGAAAUCACAUGCCUAUGUAAGGAAAGUGCUAUUCACCCAGUAAACCCAAAAAAGCAAAUGGAUAAUGCUGGCCAUUUUGCCUUUCUGACAUUUCCUUGGGAAUCUGCAAGAACCUCCCCUUUCCCCUCCCCCAAUAAGACCAUUUAAGUGUGUGUUAAACAACUACAGAAUACUAAAUAAAAAGUUUGGCCAAAACCAACCAUGAAGCUGCAAAGGUGCUUGCUCUUACUGUUUCAAAUUUUUGCAACUCUGUAGUGUCUCACUUUUAAAGGAACAGCUUGAUUGCAAAGGAGAAAAUAGAUAAGCAAUGAAGUUAUCUCCAACUUCCUAAAGGCUUAUGACUUCUAAAAAGUGAAUCUAUCAGCAUUCCACAUCAGAUUUAAAGCAUCAAAUGCCUGUGAAACAGCAAAGAUGGUUGAUGAUUUUGCUCAUUGUGGUCGUGGAGUGCUGAUUGAUUCACAGUAGAUAAAGCUGGCAGUAAGAGAAAUGCUAAGAGUUGUUGAAGCAGAAGGCGGCUGAUUGUCAAUAAGUCACUACAGUUGCAUAAGCAGUGCUGUCAGAAUUGGUUUGGUGCAGGCAAUAGAUUUUGCCUUCAGGGAUUCCUGUGGAUCUGAGGAAGGCAUCAGUGUUGAUUAACACUCAUAACUAGGGAGUGACUGGUAGUUACUUAAAGCAAGUAAUUGACCAAAUGGAAAAGGGGAAGUAAUUAAGGAAAUUGGUAAGUGGAGGUAGUCAGGAAGUUCUUGUGGUUCUUUACAUAGAUUUUACACCUUUGGCUUUCAUUUUGUUUAGCUAAAGUCAUGGGGACAACUCUUCAAUUUAGAACUUAAGUUGAAUUAUAAAAAUGAUGGAUAUAAGUGGUAGCUCUAUCUAGUGAAGUGUCUGUCAGUAAGUGAAACGUUUUUUGGUGGUGGCUUAUCCACAGUUUAGUUGUAGAAUAAAACUUGAGUGACAUCUGGAAAGUAACCAUGCUAAGAUGGCAAGCACACUGGAAACAAUUAGGCCACUUGGCUUUCUUUUUUUGUAUUGUUUUAUAAGCCUACUUUACCUCCCAGUCUUGGAAACAAGUUUUAGUUUUUUAUUGGUUUGGAGACUAGAGCCAAUAGUAUAAUGUUCUCAAAGGAAACAGACUUGAGUUGUUGGAUUAGAGGAACUAACCCAACUUCUAUGAUUUUUUUUUUUUUUUUUUGUCAUAUAGUUAUGGCACUGUCUUGUUUGGAACAUUUGCAACUAGGGAUAGUACAACAUUUUUAACUCUAAUUUGACAACCUACUACUAAUGACAGACCACAAGGGUAAUGACCAAAUUUAUGUGGUUUUUGCACUCCAUAGUUGUCUUAGCCUAAUCCUUCUAUACUCUUAUGAUUACUUGGGUUAACGCUUCUGUGAGGACCUUCUGGCUUUUGAGAUACCCUAAAUAUUUAAGAUAUUUAGAUAUCUUGAAGAUAGUAUAGGAUAUAGAGAUUGUACCAAAUAGGAAUAUAAGGAGUAUGUUAAAAUGACCAGAUACCUGUUUGAUAGUUUACUGACCUAGCAGAUGUGUGGAAAAGAAAUCAGAUCUUGAUUCUUCUGGGUUUAUACUGGUUGUAAAACAGAAUGAUACAGAAAAUGUUUUCCUUGUUUAACUGGUAGUUGAACAUAGAACUUGGGUAUUAUAGAUCACUUUUCACUUUUUGGAAUGUUUUGUACUGAAACUUAAUAAAACUUUAACAUGGCA
rnacentral:sRNA from 1 species